rnacentral:rRNA from 1 species
GAUGAACGCUGGCGGCGUGCCUAAUACAUGCAAGUCGAGCGAACAGACGAGGAGCUUGCUCCUCUGACGUUAGCGGCGGACGGGUGAGUAACACGUGGAUAACCUACCUAUAAGACUGGGAUAACUUCGGGAAACCGGAGCUAAUACCGGAUAAUAUAUUGAACCGCAUGGUUCAAUAGUGAAAGACGGUUUUGCUGUCACUUAUAGAUGGAUCCGCGCCGCAUUAGCUAGUUGGUAAGGUAACGGCUUACCAAGGCAACGAUGCGUAGCCGACCUGAGAGGGGGAUCGGCGACACUGGAACUGAGACACGGUCCAGACUCCUACGGGAGGCAGCAGUAGGGAAUCUUCCGCAAUGGGCGAAAGCCUGACGGAGCAACGCCGCGUGAGUGAUGAAGGUCUUCGGAUCGUAAAACUCUGUUAUUAGGGAAGAACAAAUGUGUAAGUAACUAUGCACGUCUUGACGGUACCUAAUCAGAAAGCCACGGCUAACUACGUG